rnacentral:rRNA from 1 species
GUGAGGAAUAUUGGUCAAUGGGCGAGAGCCUGAACCAGCCAAGUCGCGUGAAGGAAGACGGCCCUACGGGUUGUAAACUUCUUUUGCAAUGGAAUAAAAAGAGUUACGUGUAAUUCAUUGUAUGUACAUUGCGAAUAAGGAUCGGCUAACUCCGUGCCAGCAGCCGCGGUAAUACGGAGGAUCCGAGCGUUAUCCGGAUUUAUUGGGUUUAAAGGGUGCGUAGGAGGAUUGGAAAGUCAGCGGUGAAAGUUUGCAGCUUAACUGUAAAAUUGCCAUUGAAACUGUCAGUCUUGAGUGAAAAGGAGGUAGGCGGAAUGUGUUGUGUAGCGGUGAAAUGCAUAGAUAUAACACAGAACACCAAUUGCGAAGGCAGCUUACUGGGAUGCAACUGACGCUGAGGCACGAAAGCGUGGGGAUCAAACAGGAUUAGAAACCCGUGUAGUCC